ACGGAGGGCGCAAGCGUUGUUCGGAAUUACUGGGCGUAAAGGGCGGGCAGGUGGUCCGUUAAGUCGUCUGUGAAAAUCCGGGGCUCAACCCCGCGAAAUGCAGACGAUACUGGCGGACUAGAGAUCGGUAGAGGCUAGCGGAAUUCCUGGUGUAGCGGUGGAAUGCGUAGAUAUCAGGAAGAACACCCGUGGCGAAGGCGGCUAGCUGGGCCGAGUCUGACACUCAUCCGCGAAAGCGUGGGGAGCAAACAGG
rnacentral:rRNA from 1 species